rnacentral:rRNA from 1 species
GUUGAGCCCGUGCAUAUCAAUCGGCGGAGGAAAAGACCCCCGACAGGGCUUGCCUUAUAAACGGCAGAGAAGCGGCAAAAGCUCAAAUUUGAAAUCUGGGACUUUCAGUGUUCGAGUUGUAAUUUGAAGAAGGUAACUUUGGAAUUGGCUCUUGUCUAUGUUCCUUGGGACAGGACGUCCCCCCCCCCCCGAAUCCCGUGCGAUGAGAUGUCCAAUUCUAUGUAAAGAGCUUUCGAAGAGUCCAGAACACCCCACAAAAAACAGCUCUAAGUGGGUGGUAAAUUCCAUCUAAAGCUAAAUAUUGGCGAGAGACCGAUAGCGAACAAGUACAGUGAUGGAAAGAUGAAAAGAACUUUGAAAAGAGAGUGAAAAAGUACGUGAAAUUGUUGAAAGGGAAGGGCUUGAGAUCAGACUUGGUAUUUUGUGUUCCUUAUCCUUCUUGGAUUGGGUUCCUCACAGCUUACCGGGCCAGCAUCGGUUUGGAUGGCAGGAUAAUGACAUUGGAAUGUACUUUGCUUCGGUUUUUUGUUAUAGACUUGUGAUACCCCUAUCUAGUACCUCUGCUCUUGACAGGAUGCGGCGAAUAUUAGCGGGUGAU